AUGUGAUUAGACCUAACUGUUUUCCCUGAUCCUUAUCUUUAUUCCCUUCCUUAUCUUUCUAAAAACCUAGGUGAGUUGAUGGUGUAGAAGUGGCAGCUUGAGGGCUAAUGUUGUGAGGCUUGUUUGAGCUUAAGGACCAGCUGAGAAAGAGCUGGAACUCGAGGAAAAAUUUCUGUAGAAGCUGAAGUAAAGAGAGGAGUAUGAAACUGCUAGUUGUUGGAACUCCUUGUUGAUCCGAGCUGAAGGGAUGGCACUUGAGCGCUUAAUUUCUUGCGGCUAGAGCAUCUAAUUAAGAUUAAGCUGGAUUCGAGUUGUUGGAACUGCCAAAGUGAAGACCCAAUUGUGAAGUAGCUGCAGCCUCGAGAAUUCCUGGGCGCCGAGAUUGGAUUGGUGAUUUGUGGCCGAAUUAAGGAAAAACGGGGUGGAGAUUUCUGAGAUGAUAAGCUGAAGAAAAAUCUAUUAGAGCCUUAAUUUAGGGGCUAUGUAACUACUGCCUUGGAGGAGUUUUGGGCGCCCAAAUUAGCUGAGGGAGCUUCUUUGGGUGGUCCAAAUUAAAAAGGGAGUUUGAGGGUUAGCAGCUUGCUAGCUGAUUAAGUUGGAGGAGCUCGAAAUCGAGUCAAAAUUGACAUUACGACAGGUCGGUGGCGCACUAAUUACGGUAUAAGCCAUUCUAGCUUUAUUUACACUGAGUCGCGAGAGCUCGUUGUUGAUACAGUUCGAGACGUUGAUUCCAAUUUGUGGCAUCUCUACAGACCUAGUGGGUGAGUCGGCGAGGUCGGCGGCCGAACCCACUGGGAACUUUUAGUAGUUCUCAUACCACUAACCAUGCAGGUACUAGCGCGAGCGGUGUGGCCGAGAAUCGCGGCAAGAGCCCAGCAUCUUAGCUAGUGGACACCAGUGCAUAGUGGUAUACCCAUUUUGGUUCAUGUUGAAUAUAAUGAUGAAUAGAAAGACAUAUAAAUAUUUGUAUAAAUGAAUCUGUAAAUGAUGUAAAUAACGAAAUGUUUCAGUUGUUCGGUUUUCACAGUUUAGUUUUAAAGUUUUAAAAUUAUAGUGAAUGCAUGAUUAAUUAAGCUCA